rnacentral:rRNA from 1 species
UGGGGAAUUUUCCGCAAUGGGGGCAACCCUGAUCCAGCGACGCCGCGUGGGUGGUAAGGCCUUCGGGUUGUAAAGCCCUUUCACCGGGGAAGAUGAUGACAUUACCCGGAGAAGAAGCGCCGGCUAACUCCGUGCCAGCAGCCGCGGUAAGACGGAGGGCGCUAGCGUUGUUCGGAAUCACUGGGCGUAAAGGGCGCGUAGGCGGCUGUUUAAGUCGAGGGUGAAAGCCCGGGGCUCAACCCCGGAACGGCCUUCGAGACUGGGCAGCUCGAGACCGGAAGAGGAGGGUGGAAUACCCAGUGUAGAGGUGAAAUUCGUAGAUAUUGGGUGGAACACCAGUGGCGAAAGCGGCUCUCUGGUCCGGAUCUGACGCUGAGGCGCGAAAGCGUGGGGAGCAAACAGGAUUAGAUACCCCCGUAGUCC